UGGAGAGUUUGAUCCUGGCUCAGAGUGAACGCUGGCGGUAGGCCUAACACAUGCAAGUCGAACGGCAGCACAGUAAGAGCUUGCUCUUAUGGGUGGCGAGUGGCGGACGGGUGAGGAAUACAUCGGAAUCUACUUUUUCGUGGGGGAUAACGUAGGGAAACUUACGCUAAUACCGCAUACGACCUACGGGUGAAAGCAGGGGAYCUUCGGRCCUUGCGCGAUUGAAUGAGCCGAUGUCGGAUUAGCUAGUUGGCGGGGUAAAGGCCCACCAAGGCGACGAUCCGUAGCUGGUCUGAGAGGAUGAUCAGCCACACUGGAACUGAGACACGGUCCAGACUCCUACGGGAGGCAGCAGUGGGGAAUAUUGGACAAUGGGCGCAAGCCUGAUCCAGCCAUACCGCGUGGGUGAAGAAGGCCUUCGGGUUGUAAAGCCCUUUUGUUGGGAAAGAAAUCCAGCCGGCUAAUACCUGGUUGGGAUGACGGUACCCAAAGAAUAAGCACCGGCUAACUUCGUGCCAGCAGCCGCGG
rnacentral:rRNA from 6 species